AUACGGAGGGUGCGAGCGUUAAUCGGAAUUACUGGGCGUAAAGGGUGCGUAGGCGGCUUGAUAAGUCGGAUGUGAAAGCCCCGGGCUUAACCUGGGAAUUGCAUUCGAUACUGUCAGGCUAGAGUAUGUCAGAGGUUGGCGGAAUUCCUGGUGUAGCGGUGAAAUGCGUAGAUAUCAGGAGGAACACCAGUGGCGAAGGCGGCUAACUGGGGCAAUACUGACGCUGAGGCACGAAAGCGUGGGGAGCAAACAGGAUUAGAAACCCCUGUAGUCC
rnacentral:rRNA from 1 species